GCACCAAGUUCGCCCCCAGCUAUGCCAAUCUUUUUAUGGCAUUUUGGGAAGAAUUCUCUGUUUUUCAGGGAAAUCGAUGGGGGGAGAACUUGGUGUCCUAUUGCCGUUUUAUAGAUGAUAUUUUUUUUAUAUGGACAGACACUACAGAAGAACUUUGUAACUUCAUCUCGUAUCUAAAUACUAAUAAUUAUGGGAUAAAUCUGACCAGCCAUUACAGUACCCAGCAGAUAGAAUUCUUAGAUAUACAAAUCAACAUUCAUGAAUCCACCAUAAUCAUGAAAAAUUAUUUCAAACCAGUAGAUGCCAAUAGUUAUAUUGAGAAAACUAGUUGUCACCACAAUCCAUGGCUGAACAAUGCACCUAGAAGCCAAUUUUUGAGGAUCCGACGAAAC